AUUAGAUAGCUAUUCCUCCUGGGACUUAUAACAUUCAUAUGAUACUAACAAUGCUAUAGAGUGACAAAUUUAAAAAGUCAUGGGGAUGCUGUAACGGCUAAAUGGAUUCGUUCGAAUUUGCAUCAUUACUGAGGGAUGCUAGGGUAAUCAAAACAAUAGGAAAUCUUAUGUGCUUAUUAUGUCCUUGCAUAAUAAGCAUAUCUAUAUAAUAUAUGUACGUAUAUAUAUGUAUGCAUAUGUAUAUGUAUAUAUAUAUAUAUAUAUAUAUAUAUAUAUAUAUAUAUACGCAUAUAUAUAUGUAUAUAUAUAUAUAUAUAUAUAUAUAUAUAUAUAUAUAUAUAUAUAUAUAUAUAUAUAUAUAUAUAUGCUGUAUAGAAGGAGGAUGGAGCGAUUAGGCCAACGUGAAUAAAGUACCUCACAAUCAAAUGUACUAUUUACAUUUUUAAGAAAAAAAAUGCACGUUACAUUGAAUCCUAUUCCCUCCCUAUCAAUGGUAUUCAUUGGACACUGAUAAAAAAUAGAGAAAAAGAAAUGUAAGCUUAACUGAAUCUUCCCUUGCCUGAUUCACUUGACCCCCUUCCGUCCACACGUCACAGGUUGCUGUGACCUUCCUCUACCAACAUCCAUCGCGUAUAAGCAUGAUAACGGAUAUUUUUAAAUUACCCUUACAAAAAAACUUAGCCUUAAAAUGCAUAUGUUUAUAGAACAAUUUCUACCCAAAAUUACAUUUUGUAUUAUUCCCCAAAAUAUUUGCAUAAACUCAUGUUACACCCUAUAUACAUUUCUCAGAUCACGUUCUCCUACAUGCAGUUCAAACAGUUGUAAAUUUCGUUUGUUGAGACUUGAAUUCCAGAACUUUCCUAGUUUAUGCGGAAUGGGCAGCGAUUCAGGCAAAGCAGACAGGUCAACAGAACCUUCCUUCCUAGACCUAUGAGUGCGCUCUCCAUCCUUUGUUGAACAGUCAAUGCGGCUGUCAAAUAUAAAAUGAUCCAUGAGCCGUGCACUUGUGAGGGACUGGAGAAGAUUUGUUACUGAAAUUAUUUCAUGAAAUAAAAGGUCAAACCCAGCCACAGAAGCAAUAUUUCCAGUCAUUCCUACAACUACAUGACCACGGGGACCCUUUACAAAGCUGGUCAAUAACCUUUGCCACAGCAGAAAAUACUGCUCCUGGUUGAUCUUUUGCAAUGAAAUGUCCCGUGCAGAAUUUGUUGUUUCAGUCUUUG